UACCUGGUUGAUCCUGCCAGUAAUCAUAUGCUUGUCUCAAAGAUUAAGCCAUGCAUGUCUAAGUACAUGCCGAAAUAAGGCGAAACCGCGAAUGGCUCAUUAAAUCAGUUAUGGUUCCUUAGAUCGUUUCUUCCUACUUGGAUAACUGUGGCAAUUCUAGAGCUAAUACAUGCAGUGAGCCUGAAGCCCUUUGGGCGACGGGUGCUUUUAUUAGACCAAGAUCGAUCGGGUUUCGGCCCGUAUUGUGUGGUGACUCUGGAUAACUUUGUGCUGAUCGCAUGGCCACGAGCCGGCGACGUUUCUUUCAAGUGUCUGCCUUAUCAACUUUCGAUGUAGGUUACUUGCUUACCAUGGUUGUUACGGGUAACGGAGAAUCAGGGUUCGAUUCCGGAGAGGGAGCCUGAGAAACGGCUACCACAUCCAAGGAAGGCAGCAGGCGCGCAAAUUACCCACUCCCGGCACGGGGAGGUAGUGACGAAAAAUAACAAUACGGGACUCUUUUGAGGCCCCGUAAUUGAAAUGAGUACACUCUAAAUCCUUUAACGAGGAUCAAUUGGAGGGCAAGUCUGGUGCCAGCAGCCGCGGUAAUUCCAGCUCCAAUAGCGUAUACUAAAGCUGCUGCGGUUAAAAAGCUCGUAGUUGGAUCUCAGUUCCAGACGAGUAGUGCAUCUACCCGAUGCGACGGCUCGGACUGAACAUCAUGCCGGUCCUUUCUUGGUGCACUUCAUUGUGUGCUCGAGAAGGCCGGUGCUUUUACUUUGAAAAAAUUAGAGUGCUCAACGCAGGCGAGUCGCCUGAAUAAACUUGCAUGGAAUAAUAGAACAAGACCUCGUUUCUGUUCUGUUGGUUUUUGGAAUACGAGGUAAUGAUUAAGAGGGACAGACGGGGGCAUUCGUAUUGCGGCGCUAGAGGUGAAAUUCUUGGACCGUCGCAAGACGAACUACUGCGAAAGCAUUUGCCAAGAAUGUUUUCUUUGAUCAAGAACGAAAGUCAGAGGUUCGAAGGCGAUCAGAUACCGCCCUAGUUCUGACCAUAAACGAUGCCAACCAGCGAUCCGCCUGAGUUACUCAAAUGACUCGGCGGGCAGCUUCCGGGAAACCAAAGUAUUUGGGUUCCGGGGGAAGUAUGGUUGCAAAGCUGAAACUUAAAGGAAUUGACGGAAGGGCACCACCAGGAGUGGAGCCUGCGGCUUAAUUUGACUCAACACGGGAAAACUUACCCGGCCCGGACACUGGGAGGAUUGACAGAUUGAGAGCUCUUUCUUGAUUCGGUGGAUGGUGGUGCAUGGCCGUUCUUAGUUGGUGGAGCGAUUUGUCUGGUUAAUUCCGAUAACGAACGAGACUCUAGCCUAUUAAAUAGGUGCGGGGUUCCCAGCACCUUACAACCUUCUUAGAGGGACAAGCGGCUCCUAGCCGCACGAAACAGAGCAAUAACAGGUCUGUGAUGCCCUUAGAUGUCCGGGGCCGCACGCGCGCUACACUGAAGGAAGCAGCGUGUCUUUAUCCCUGUCUGAAAAGACUGGGUAACCCGUGGAACUUCUUUCGUGAUUGGGAUAGGGGCUUGCAAUUGUUCCCCUUGAACGAGGAAUUCCCAGUAAGCGCGAGUCAUAAGCUCGCGUUGAUUACGUCCCUGCCCUUUGUACACACCGCCCGUCGCUACUACCGAUUGAAUGAUUUAGUGAGGUCUUCGGACCGAUGUCCGGCGCGGCCUUUCGGUUGCGCCGGUCUGUUGGAAAGAUGACCAAACUUGAUCAUUUAGAGGAAGUAAAAGUCGUAACAAGGUUUCCGUAGGUGAACCUGCGGAAGGAUCAUUA
rnacentral:rRNA from 1 species